rnacentral:rRNA from 1 species
AUACGUAGGCAGCGAGCGUUGUUCGGAGUUACUGGGCGUAAAGCGUGCGUAGGCGGUGUCCUAAGUUUGGUGUGAAAUCUCCCGGCUCAACUGGGAGGGUGCGCCGAAAACUGGGGUGCUGGAGUGUGGGAGAGGUAGGCGGAAUUCCUGGUGUAGCGGUGAAAUGCGUAGAUAUCAGGAGGAACACCUGUGGUGUAGACGGCUUACUGGACCAUGACUGACGCUGAGGCACGAAAGCGUGGGGAGCAAACAG